rnacentral:rRNA from 1 species
GAUCCUGGCUCAGGAUGAACGCUGGCGGCGUGCCUAAUACAUGCAAGUCGAACGCAUCACUUCGGUGAUGAGUGGCGAACGGGUGAGUAAUACAUAAGUAACCUGGCCCAUACAGGGGGGAUAACUGCUGGAAACGGCAGCUAAGACCGCAUAUGUGUAGAGAUCGCAUGAACUCUAUAUGAAAAGUGCUACGGCACUGGUAAGGGAUGGACUUAUGGCGCAUUAG